rnacentral:lncRNA from 1 species
UUUGGUUAGGGUUACAUCUUAUCACGAGGUCGGGUACAAAGCAGGUGUUAGUACCGUACCUACAUUACAAUUUCAGACCAUCAAGUGGCAUGCGUACACUAGACCUGGAACUGGAAGCCACAUACGUACGAACCAAGCAAAUUCCAUUCCAUUCUUAAUUAACGCGUACGUACGAACAAAGCAUCAGAGUGCGGAACACCGAUGGAU